UACGGAGGGUGCGAGCGUUGUCCGGAAUCACUGGGCGUAAAGGGCGCGUAGGCGGCGCGAGCAGUCAACGGUGAAAGCCCGGGGCUCAACCCCGGGUCGGCCGUCGAUAAUCUCGCGCUGGAGCACUGUAGAGGCAGGUGGAAUUCCGGGUGUAGCGGUGGAAUGCGUAGAGAUCCGGAAGAACACCGGUGGCGAAGGCGGCCUGCUGGGCAGUAGCUGACGCUGAGGCGCGACAGCGUGGGGAGCAAACAGG
rnacentral:rRNA from 1 species